UAGGGAAUCUUCGGCAAUGGGGGGAACCCUGACCGAGCAACGCCGCGUGAGUGAAGAAGGUUUUCGGAUCGUAAAGCUCUGUUGUUAAGGAAGAACGUGUGUGAGAGUGGAAAGUUCACACAGUGACGGUACUUAACCAGAAAGGGACGGCUAACUACGUGCCAGCAGCCGCGGUAAUACGUAGGUCCCGAGCGUUGUCCGGAUUUAUUGGGCGUAAAGCGAGCGCAGGCGGUUAGAUAAGUCUGAAGUGAAAGGCAGUGGCUCAACCAUUGUAGGCUUUGGAAACUGUUUAACUUGAGUGCAGAAGGGGAGAGUGGAAUUCCAUGUGUAGCGGUGAAAUGCGUAGAUAUAUGGAGGAACACCGGUGGCGAAAGCGGCUCUCUGGUCUGUAACUGACGCUGAGGCUCGAAAGCGUGGGGAGCGAACAGGAUUAGAUACCCUGGUAGUCCACACAGUAAACGAUGUAUACUCGCGGUUUGCGAUAGACAGUAAGCCGCCAAGCGAAAGCAUUAAGUAUACCACCUGGGGAGUACGCCGGCAACGGUG
rnacentral:rRNA from 1 species